AUUGAACGCUGGCGGCAGGCCUAACACAUGCAAGUCGAGCGGAUGAGGGGAGCUUGCUCCCUGAUUUAGCGGCGGACGGGUGAGUAAUGCCUAGGAAUCUGCCUGGUAGUGGGGGAUAACGUUCCGAAAGGAAUGCUAAUACUGCAUACGUCCUACGGGAGAAAGCAGGGGGCCGUCGGGCCUUGCGCUCUCAGAUGGGCCUAGGUCGGACUAGCUAGUUGGUGAGGUAAUGGCUCACCAAGGCGAGGAUCCGUAACUGGUCUGAGAGGAUGAUCAGUCACACGGGAGCUGAGACACGGUCCAGACUCCUACGAGAGGCAGCAGUGGGGAAUAUUGGACAAUGGGCGAAAGCAUGGUCCAGCCAUGCCGCGUGUGUGAAGAAGGUCUUCGGAUUGUAAAGCACUUUUAGUUGGGAGGAAGGGCUGCUGGUUAAUACCAUGCAGUUUUGACGUUACCAACAGAAUAAGCACCGGCUAACUUCGUG
rnacentral:rRNA from 1 species